rnacentral:rRNA from 1 species
CUUAAAAUCUAGCCCCAACACAACGUAUGAUUACACAACUCUUUAUUACAAAAACUAAAACAUUCUACUGAUUUAGUAAAGGAGAUUGAAAAAUUUUUAAGGAGCAAUAAACAGAGUACCGCAAGGGAAAGAUGAAAUAAAAAUGAAAAAUCUAUAAAGCACAAAAAAGAAGAGGCUAAUUCUCGUACCUUUUGCAUCAUGGUUUAACUAGUCCAAUCAAGCAAAACGAAUUAAAGUUUGACCUCCCGAAACUAAGCGAGCUACUUCAGGGCAGCUGAAUGAGCAAACCCGUCUCUGUUGCAAAAGAGUGGGAAGACCCUUAAGUAGGGGUGAUAGACCUAACGAGCUUAGUGAUAGCUGGUUACUUAAGAAAAGGAUUUUAGUCCAACCUAAAGUUAAUAUAAUAUUAAUAAAUAAUAACUUAACUCUAGAGCAAUUCAAAUAAGGUACAGCCUAUUUGAAACAGGAUACAACCUCUAUAAAUGGGUAAUUUAAAACACACACAUAAUUAAGUAGGCCUAAAAGCAGCCACCUUCAAAAAAGCGUCAAAGCUUAAUUUUUAUAUAUAAAAAUUCCAAAACCUAUCAAAAACCCUUAACCACUAUUAAGUACUUUCAUAUUUUUAUGAAACUUACAAUGUUAAAACUAGUAACAAGAAGAAGCCCUUCUCUUAAAUGCAAGUGUACAUCAAAAAGGACAAACCACUGAUAAUUAACAUUUACUGAACACAAAGUAGCAACUUCACAAGAAAACCCUACUUAUUUGAAUGUUAACCUAACACAAGAGCAUUAAAAGAAAGAUUAAAAGGAAAAGAAGGAACUCGGCAAACAUUAACCCCGCCUGUUUACCAAAAACAUCGCCUCUUGACAACCAUAAGAGGUACAGCCUGCCCAGUGACUUUGUUUAACGGCCGCGGUAUCCUAACCGUGCGAAGGUAGCGUAAUCACUUGUUCUUUAAAUGAGGACUAGUAUGAAUGGCAUCACGAGGGUUAUGCUGUCUCCUUUCCCCAAUCAGUGAAACUAAUCUCUCCGUGAAGAAGCGGGGAUAAAUAUAUAAGACGAGAAGACCCUAUGGAGCUUUAAACUAAAUUACAUUUGCCUAACCCACAUAAAUUUCAGAAAAAUAAAAUCCAUCUAAGCAUCAUGAUAAUAAGUUUUAGGUUGGGGUGACCGCGGAGUAAAACACACCCUCCGCACUGAACAAGAUUGUUUCUUUAGCUAUAAGCUACAACUUUAAGCAUCAAUAAAUUGACAUUAUUGACCCAAUAUUUUGAUCAACGAACCAAGUUACCCUAGGGAUAACAGCGCAAUCCACUUCAAGAGCUCAUAUCGACAAGUGGGUUUACGACCUCGAUGUUGGAUCAGGGUAUCCCAGUGGUGCAGCCGCUACUAAAGGUUCGUUUGUUCAACGAUU